UAAUACGUAGGUGGCGAGCGUUGUCCGGAAUUACUGGGCGUAAAGGGCGCGUAGGCGGCUUUUUAAGUUAGAUGUGAAAACCCGGGGCUUAACUCCGGGCGUGCAUUUAAAACUGGAGAGCUUGAGUGCAGGAGAGGUAAGUGGAAUUCCUAGUGUAGCGGUGAAAUGCGUAGAUAUUAGGAGGAACACCAGUGGCGAAGGCGACUUACUGGACUGUAACUGACGCUGAGGCGCGAAAGCGUGGGGAGCAAACAGGAUUAGAUACCCUGGUAGUCCACGCUGUAAACGAUGGAUACUAGGUGUGGGAGGUAUCGACCCCUUCCGUGCCGCAGUUAACGCAAUAAGUAUCCCGCCUGGGGAGUACGACCGCAAGGUUGAAACUCAAAGGAAUUGACGGGGGCCCGCACAAGCGGAGGAGCAUGUGGUUUAAUUCGAUGAUACGCGAGGAACCUUACCAGGGCUCGAACGCAGGAGGAAUACACCCGAAAGGAUGUAGCCAGCAAUGGCCGCCUGCGAGGUGCUGCAUGGUUGUCGUCAGCUCGUGCCGUGAGGUGUCAGGUUAAGUCCUAUAACGAGCGCAACCCCUAUUCAUAGUUGCCAGCAUAUUACGAUGGGGACUCUAUGAAAACUGCCUGCGCAAGCAGUGAGGAAGGUGGGGAUGACGUCAAAUCAGCACGGCCCUUAUGUCCUGGGCUACACACGUGCUACAAUGGCCGGUACAAAAGGCCGCAACUACGCAAGUAGAAGCUAAUCCCUAAAACCGGUCUCAGUUCGGAUUGGAGUCUGCAACCCGACUCCAUGAAGCCGGAUUCGCUAGUAAUCGCACAUCAGCCAUGGCGCGGUGAAUACGUUCCCGGGCCUUGUACACACCGCCCGUCAAGCCAUGGAAGCUGGAGGUACCUGAAGUCCGUAACCCUUAAGGAGCGGCCUAAGGUAAACUCAGUGACUGGGGCU
rnacentral:rRNA from 1 species